AUGCGUACUGUUUACUCGUGGAUUGGUCUAAUCGGAAAAGUGCUAAUAUUUCCAACAGACGGCACGGCCGUCGUCAAGCCGAGCGGACUCCUGGAGCUGACCAACGGCACGACCCAGCUCUCGAGCCACGUGGUCCACCGAUCGCCGCUGCGCCUGCGGAGGUCCCCGGGCAAUGGCGUGCGCUCCUUCUCGGCAUCCUUCGUGUUCGGCAUCAUUCCCCCGUACGCCGACCUCAGCGGCCACAGCAUCGUCUUCUUCGUCGGCAAGGACAACUUCUCGACCGCGCUGCCGAGCUACGUCGAGCUCGACACCAUCCAGAGCAAGGAGUUCCAGGACCCUGACGACAACCACGUCGGCAUCGACGCCAACAGCCUGCAAUCCAUCGCCGCGCGCCACGCCGGCUACUACUACGACAAGACCGACGCGUUCCAUGACCUGCUUCUCAUCAGCGGCAAGGCUAUGCAGGUCUAG
rnacentral:rRNA from 1 species